AGUGAACGCUGGCGGCGUGCCUAAUACAUGCAAGUCGAACGGAGUGGCGCACGGGUGAGUAAUAUAUAGCUAAUCUGCCCCUUCCUGGCGGACAACAGUUCGAAAUGACUGCUAAUACUCCAUAGCAAGGGAUGAGACUAUAUCGGAUCAGCUAGUCGUUGGGGUAACGGCCUACCGAGGCUAUGACGCGUAACUGGUCUGAGAGGAUGAUCAGUCACAUUGGAAGUGAGACACGGUUCAAACGCCUACGGGAGGCAGCAGUAGGGAAUAGUGCGAAAUGGGGGAAACCCUGACGAAGCAACGGAGCGUGGAGGAGGAAAGUUUUAGGAGAGCAAACUCCUUUUGGUAGGGAAGCGGUACCUAACGAAAAAGCACCGGCUAACUCCGUGCCAGCAGCCGCGGUAAUAC
rnacentral:rRNA from 1 species